GACGGAGGAUGCAAGUGUUAUCCGGAAUCACUGGGCGUAAAGCGUCUGUAGGUGGUUUGCUAAGUCUGCUGUUAAAGCUUGAAGCUCAACUUCAAAAAUGCAGCAGAAACUAGUAGACUUGAGUAUGUAGGGGUAGAGGGAAUUUCCAGUGAAGUGGUGAAAUGCGUAGAUAUUGGAAAGACCACCAAUGGCGAAGGCACUCUACUGGGCCAUAACUGACACUGGAGAGACGAAAGCUAGGGGAGCAAAUGGG
rnacentral:rRNA from 1 species